UACAGAGGGGGCAAGCGUUGUUCGGAAUUACUGGGCGUAAAGGGCGCGUAGGCGGCCUGUUAAGUCGAACGUGAAAUCCCCGGGCUCAACCCGGGAACUGCGUCCGAUACUGGCAGGCUUGAAUCCGGGAGAGGGAUGCGGAAUUCCAGGUGUAGCGGUGAAAUGCGCAGAUAUCAGGAGGAACACCGGUGGCGAAGGCGGUUCUCUGGGCAUUACCUGACGCUGAGGAGCGAAAGUGUGGGGAGCGAACAGG
rnacentral:rRNA from 1 species